rnacentral:rRNA from 1 species
AGCCUGUAGUGAAGGGUAAUAGGACUUACCCCACAGCGAAGCUACCCGAUGUCCAGUCCUAUGAGGGUGAUCCGUCCACACCUGGACUGAGACACGUCCCGACUCCUACCGGAAGGCAGCCCUUGGAAUAUGCACCAAUGGGCGCCAAGCCCUGAUGCAGCGACCGCCCGCGUGAAGGAUGACGGCCUUUCGGGUGUUAAACCCUCCUUCCAGUAGGGAAGAAGCGAAAGUGACCGGUACCUUGCAGAAGAAGCACCCGGCUAACUUACGUGCCAGCAGCCGCCGGUAAUACGUAGGGUGCGAGCGUUAUCCGGGAAUUAUUGGGCGUAAAGAGCUCGUAGGCGGUUUGUCGCGUCUGUCGUGAAAGUCCCGGGGCUUAACCCCCGGAUCUGCGGUGGGUACGGGCAGACUAGAGUGCAGUAGGGGAGACUGGAAUUCCUGGUGUAGCGGUGGAAUGCGCAGAUAUCAGGAGGAACACCGAUGGCGAAGGCAGGUCUCUGGGCUGUAACUGACGCUGAGGAGCGAAAGCAUGGGGAGCGAACAGGAUUAGAUACCCUGGUAGUCCAUGCCGUAAACGUUGGGCACUAGGUGUGGGGACCAUUCCACGGUUUCCGCGCCGCAGCUAACGCAUUAAGUGCCCCGCCUGGGGAGUACGGCCGCAAGGCUAAAACUCAAAGGAAUUGACGGGGGCCCGCACAAGCGGCGGAGCAUGCGGAUUAAUUCGAUGCAACGCGAAGAACCUUACCAAGGCUUGACAUGUUCUCGAUCGCCGUAGAGAUACGGUUUCCCCUUUGGGGCGGGUUCACAGGUGGUGCAUGGUUGUCGUCAGCUCGUGUCGUGAGAUGUUGGGUUAAGUCCCGCAACGAGCGCAACCCUCGUUCCAUGUUGCCAGCACGUCGUGGUGGGGACUCAUGGGAGACUGCCGGGGUCAACUCGGAGGAAGGUGAGGACGACGUCAAAUCAUCAUGCCCCUUAUGUCUUGGGCUUCACGCAUGCUACAAUGGCCGGUACAAUGGGUUGCGAUACUGUGAGGUGGAGCUAAUCCCAAAAAGCCGGUCUCAGUUCGGAUUGGGGUCUGCAACUCGACCCCAUGAAGUCGGAGUCGCUAGUAAUCGCAGAUCAGCAACGCUGCGGUGAAUACGUUCCCGGGCCUUGUACACACCGCCCGUCAAGUCACGAAAGUUGGUAACACCCGAAGCCGGUGGCCUAACCCUUGUGGGGGGAGCCGUCGAUAUGGUGUGGACCAGCGAUGGGACUAAGUCGUAAUCAAGCAGAUAACC